UACGUAGGGUGCAAGCGUUAAUCGGAAUUACUGGGCGUAAAGCGUGCGCAGGCGGUUGUGCAAGACAGAUGUGAAAUCCCCGGGCUUAACCUGGGGAUUGCAUUUGUGACUGCACGGCUAGAGUGUGUCAGAGGGGGGUAGAAUUCCACGUGUAGCAGUGAAAUGCGUAGAUAUGUGGAGGAAUAUCGAUGGCGAAGGCAGCCCCCUGGGAUAACACUGACGCUCAUGCACGAAAGCGUGGGGAGCAAACAGG
rnacentral:rRNA from 1 species